rnacentral:rRNA from 1 species
GCUUAACAUGCAGUCGAACGGCACCACGGACUUCUGUCUGGUGGCGAGUGGCGAACGGGUGAAUAAUGUAUCGGAACGUGCCCAGUAUCGGGGGAUAACUACGCAAAGGCGUAGCUAAUACCGCAUACGCCCUACGGGGGAAAGCAGGGGAUCGCAAGACCUUGCACUAUUGGAGCGGCCGAUAUCGGAUUAGCUAGUUGGUGGGGUAACGGCUCACCAAGGCAACAAUCCGUAUCUGGUUUGAAAGGACGACCAGCCACUCUGGGACUGAGACACGGCCCAGACUCCUACGGGAGGCAGCAGUGGGGAAUUUUGGACAAUGGGGGAAACCCUGAUCCAGCCAUCCCGCGUGUGCGAUGAAGGCCUUCGGGUUGUAAAGCACUUUUGGCAGGAAAGAAACGUCGUGGGUUAAUACCCCGCGAAACUGACGGUACCUGCAAAAUAAGCACCGGCUAACUACGUGCCAGCAGCCGCGGUAAUACGUAUGGUGCAAGCGUUAAUCGGAAUUACUGGGCGUAAAGCGUGCGCAGGCGGUUCGGAAAGAAAGAUGUGAAAUCCCAGAGCUUAACUUUGGAACUGCAUUUUUAACUACCGGGCUAGAGUGUGUCAGAGGGAGGUGGAAUUCCGCGUGUAGCAGUGAAAUGCGUAGAUAUGCGGAGGAACACCGAUGGCGAAGGCAGCCUCCUGGGAUAACACUGACGCUCAUGCACGAA